rnacentral:tRNA from 1 species
ACAAGUAUAAUUUAAUGGUAAAAUGUUAACCUUCCAAGUUAAUUAUGCGAGUUCAAUUCUCGUUACUUGUU